AUGCGUUUCCGCCAGAAAGCCCCGGUUUUGGGGCUGGAGGAGGAGGCCGUCCGGCUGGGGAUGAAGGACGGCCCGAAGGAUGGAACGGGAGGAGGAGGAGGAGGAGAGAGGGCAGUAGAGCGAUCGGCGCGGAGGGGCCGGCCGGGGGGGCCCGCCGCUGCCUGCCGGCUGUGGGCGGGCUGUCGCCGCCUUCGGGCCGCCGCCGGGGCGGGCCGGGCCGGGCCGGAGGAUGGCGGGGGGAGGAGGAGGAGGAGGAGAAGGAAGGGGGGAGCGGGGGUGUCAUGCCGAGAGCGCGCCUCGCAGCCCGGCAGGCCGCGGCCCGACCCGCAGCCCCGGGCACAGCCCGCAGCCCGCCCCCACCGUCAGCGCCCCGCGAUCCACUCCCCGGCCCGAGGGACGGAGAGGGCAGCCCCCGCCGGCUGCGAGGGGAGGGAGAGGGAAGGUUUGGUGGAGGGAGCGGGGAUUAGGAGUUAUCCCCAAAGAGCCUUUCCCUGCUCCGAGCCAGAGGGCAGCGCUCGGGAGAGGGGUCGGCGGCGGCGGGCGCUCCGCAACAUCCGCACAACUCGGAGAGCGGCGGGACGAACAACUUUUCCGACACGUGAGUACCUCGGCACGGUGUUUUUAUUUCCUUCCCGGCUCCGGCCGUGUGGAGUUAGCGUGGUGCCGGGGACGGGACGCGCGGUCGUCCCGAAGCGCCGGACGCGGGGCGGCGGGGGGCUGCUGCUCCCUCUUUUUCUUUUCUCCUCUCGCCCCGCUCUUUUUGUCGAACCAAAUCAGAAAUGUCAGUCAGUGCGAGUGAGUCAGAGGGAUCAGAUUACAAGAUCGCCGCGGCCGAUGUCGGAUCGGCGCGCACACACACACGGCACACACGCAGAGGCACGGGCUGCGUCCCGCUGGAGGGGGGCAGGGACUUCGCCGCCCGGCCCGGCCCGGCCCUCAGCAUGCCCGUCGGCGGCCGACCCCGCUAGCUCGGCGUGGGGGAGCCGCGGCGCUCUCCUAUGGGCAGCGCGGGGCUUGGCGACGGCAGGUACGUACCCGGCGGGGCAAGAAGUUCUUUGUUCGCGGGGUUCUGCUCCGCCCGUGCCGCGGGUGCUCCGUCCCGCUCCCGGAGCCCGGGCUCGCGGCAGCCGGGGGGCCGACCCCAACAUGGCUGUCACGGGGCGCCCCGAGUCGGACGGCGCGCUGCGGGGCUGGCCCCGAGCCUCGUCGCCUGCCUACGCCAGGCCCUUCAGCGGCCGGCGGGCGUUCCCGGCCCGAGGAGGCCGGCCGCAAACUUUGCGGGGGAGCGGUGCGGAAGGCGCUGUCAGGCGGGAGGGGCGGGCGGCCGUUGUUCGCCGCGGGGCAGGAAAAGUUGCGUACCGGCCGGGCGGCGGCGUAAGCCUUUGUGUGGGGGCGUGGGGCCGCGCUGCUGUUCUCAGCUCGGCCGGGCCGGGCGGGGAGUGGGCGCGGGGGAGCCGCAGAGCGCGGCCACUCAGCACAUGGCUCAACUUCGAAGACUCCGAGGAAAGUGGCGGCUUUGAGGAGCCGUUAGCUCGGGCCGUAGGCACAAUAGUUGUUCCUCCCCGCGAACUCUCCCGCCCGCGCCCGCACUCAAACCCCCACACCACGUGA
ensembl:lncRNA